CCUACGGGAGGCAGCAGUGAGGAAUAUUGGUCAAUGGCCGGAAGGCUGAACCAGCCAAGUCGCGUGAAGGACGAAGGUGCCACGCAUUGUCAACUUCUUUUGUCAAGGGACAAAAUCAGGCUCGCGAGCCUGCCCGAGGGUACUUUAAGAAAAAGCAUCGGCUAACUCCGUGCCAGCCGCCGCGGUAAUCCGGAGGAUGCGAGCGUUAUCCGGAUUUAUUGGGUUUAAAGGGUGCGUAGGCGGGCUGUUAAGUCAGCGGUAAAAGCCCGGGGCUCAACCCCGGCGAGCCGUUGAAACUGGCGGGCGUGAGAUGGCGAGAGGUAGGCGGAAUGCGCAGUGUAGCGGUGAAAUGCUUAGAUAUUGCGCAGAACUCCGAUUGCGAAGGCAGCAUACCGGCGGCGAUCUGACGCUGAGGCACGAAAGCGUGGGUAUCGAACAGGAUUAGAUACCCGGGUAGUC
rnacentral:rRNA from 1 species